GUGCCAGCCGCCGCGGUAAUACCGGCAGCUCAAGUGAUGUCCCAUAUUAUUGGGCCUAAAGCGUCCGUAGCUGGCCGCGCAAGUCCGUCGGGAAAUCCAUCAGCCUAACUGAUGGGCGUCCGGCGGAAACUGCACGGCUUGGGACCGGAAGACUCGAGAGGUACGUCCGGGGUAGGAGUGAAAUCCUGUAAUCCUGGACGGACCGCCGGUGGCGAAAGCGCCUCGGGAAGACGGACCCGACAGUGAGGGACGAAAGCUGGGAUUUCGAACCGGAUUAGAAACCCUGGUAGUCC
rnacentral:rRNA from 1 species